AUGUACUUCAUGUGUGCCAACACCAUCGUGCUCUGGAGCGGCCCGCUUGCCAUGACCGUGCUCGUGUUCGGCACCUGCGUGCUGACAGGUGUCAAGCUCGACGCUGGCAAGGUGUUCACAGCCACCGCGUUCUUUCGGAUGCUCGAUGGACCUAUGCAGAGCUUCCCGGAGGCGAUCGCCGCUGUGACGCAGGCGACCGUGUCGCUUGGAAGGCUUGACAGGUAUCUGCUUGAUGCAGAGCUCGCUGACACUACAGUGGAGCAUGUCCUUGAUGCUGAUACUGGCCCGGACCGAGUGGUCGUGGAGGUGCACGAUGGCAUGUUCGCGUGGGACGUGAGGGGCAAGAAGGAGAAUGAAAAGGAAGAAGAGGAAAAUGAUGACAGUGAAGGUGAGGAGGAUGAGAGAAUUGUGGAGGAGGCACCAGUGCUAGAGACAGUGCUGAAGGGGAUUAGUAUGACGGUGAGGAAAGGCGAGCUUGCGGCGGUGGUUGGAAUGGUCGGGUCCGGCAAGUCGUCACUGCUCUCCUGCAUUAUGGGGGAGAUGGACAAGGUCUCAGGCAAAGUAAGGGUAUGUGGUAGCACUGCAUAUGUUGCACAGACAGCUUGGAUCCAAAAUGGGACCAUUCAAGAGAAUAUCUUAUUCGGUCAGCCAAUGGAUGCUGAAAGAUACAAGGAGGUUACACGAUCUUGCUGUCUGCAAAAGGAUUUGGAAAUGAUGGAAUUUGGUGACCGGACUGAAAUAGGAGAGAGAGGGAUCAAUCUCAGUGGUGGGCAGAAACAGCGCAUUCAGCUUGCCAGAGCAGUUUAUCAGAAUUGCGAUGUAUAUCUCCUUGAUGAUGUCUUCAGUGCUGUUGAUGCUCACACUGGUUCCUAUAUCUUUAAGGAAUGUCUAAGGGGGCUGCUCAAGGGAAAGACCAUCUUGCUUGUUACUCACCAAGUGGAUUUCUUGCAUAAUGUGGACAACAUAUUUGUCAUGAAAGAUGGUAUGAUUGCACAGUCAGGAAAGUUUGACGAGUUACUAGAGGCAGGCUCAGGCUUUUCAGCUCUUGUUGCUGCUCAUGAUAGUUCAAUGGAACUGGUGGAACAGAGUCGACAAGUAGAGAAGACUGAACAUUCUCAGCCUGCAGUAGUCAGAAUCCCAUCUCUUCGCUCUAGAUCCAUUGGAAAGGGUGAGAAGGUGAUCGUUGCACCAGAAAUAGAAGCAGCUACUUCUAAGAUUAUACAAGAAGAGGAAAGAGAGAGUGGCCAAGUAAGUUGGCGUGUGUACAAGCUAUACAUGACAGAGGCUUGGGGUUGGUGGGGAGUUGUGGGCAUAUUUGGAUUAUCAUUGGUGUGGCAAGCUUCUGAUAUGGCUAGUGACUAUUGGCUGUCAUAUGAAACAUCAGGCGGCAUCCCAUUUAAUCCUUCACUGUUUAUCGGAGUGUAUGUUGCCAUAGCUGGUGUUUCAAUGGUACUCCAAGUAAUCAAGACUUUUCUUGAGACGGUUAUGGGACUUCAAACAGCUCAGAUCUUUUUCAGGAAGAUGUUUGACAGCAUUUUGCAUGCCCCAAUGUCAUUUUUUGACACCACUCCUUCAGGAAGGAUUCUUAGUCGGGCAUCAUCUGACCAAACAACUAUCGAUGUUGUGCUGGCAUUUUUCGUUGGCCUGACAAUUUCAAUGUACAUUUCAGUAUUGAGCACCAUAGUUGUUACUUGUCAGGUUGCCUGGCCCUCAGUUAUAGCUGUAGUUCCGCUUCUGCUAUUGAACAUUUGGUACAGGAACCGCUAUCUUGCAACUUCUCGGGAGCUAACUCGACUUGAAGGAGUAACCAAGGCACCGGUUAUCGAUCACUUUACUGAGACCGUUGUAGGUGCUACAACCAUACGAUGUUUUAAGAAGGAAAAUGAAUUUUUCCAGGAGAAUCUAGAAAGGAUCAAUUCAAGUUUGCGCAUGUACUUCCACAAUUAUGCAGCAAAUGAGUGGCUUGGGUUCCGACUGGAGCUGAUUGGAACACUCGUACUGUCAAUCACUGCUUUCCUGAUGAUCAGCUUGCCCAGCAAUUUUAUCAAGAAAGAAUUUGUUGGCAUGUCCCUUUCGUAUGGCCUUUCCCUCAAUUCUCUGGUGUACUUUGCAAUAUCGAUCAGCUGUAUGUUGGAAAAUGAUAUGGUUGCUGUAGAGAGGGUAAAUCAGUUCAGCACUCUUCCUUCUGAGGCAGCAUGGAGAAAAGAGGAUCAUCUUCCUCCGAAUUGGCCCACACAUGGAGAUAUUGACAUCAGCGAUCUAAAGGUUAGGUAUCGACCAAAUACACCUCUAAUUCUGAAGGGCAUUAAUGUGAGCAUUAGAGGUGGUGAAAAGAUAGGAGUUAUAGGAAGGACAGGCAGUGGAAAAUCAACUUUGAUUCAAGCACUGUUCAGGCUUGUAGAACCUGCAGAGGGGAAGAUGAUCAUUGAUGGAGUAGACCUAUGUGCAUUGGGUCUGCAUGAUCUUAGGUCCCGUUUCGGCAUAAUUCCCCAGGAGCCAGUUCUCUUUGAAGGGACGAUUCGAAGUAACAUUGAUCCAGUUGGCCAGUAUUCAGAUUCUGAAAUAUGGCUGGCUCUGGAGCGUUGCCAACUGAAAGAUGUGGUAGCUUCAAAAGCUGAAAAGCUCGAUGCUCUAGUGGCCGAUAGCGGGGAGAACUGGAGCAUAGGCCAAAGACAGCUUCUGUGCCUUGGCCGUGUGAUAUUAAAGCAGAACCAAAUCUUACUUAUGGACGAGGCAACUGCUUCAGUUGAUUCUCAAACCGACGCUACGAUUCAGAAGAUCACCCGAGAACAAUUCUCGUCAUGUACUAUUAUCAGCAUUGCACACAGGAUACCGACAGUCAUGGACUGUGAUCGAGUUUUGGUGCUGGACGCAGGUCUGGUAAAGGAGUUCGAUGCACCAUCGAGGUUGCUCGAACAACCGUCAUCCCUCUUCGGGGCGAUGGUCCAGGAGUACGCCGACCGCUCGGCCAACCUCUAG
rnacentral:rRNA from 1 species